CAUACAUCAUCACCGAAACCCCUCCUCAUACAUGACAUCAUCACCGAAACCCCUCCUCAUACAUUACAUCAUCACCGAAACCCCUCCUCAUACAUUACAUCAUAACCGAAACCCCUCCUCAUACAUGACAUCAUCACCGAAACCCCUCCUCAUACAUUACAUCAUCACCGAAACCCCUCCUCAUACAUUACAUCAUCACCAAAACCCCUCCUCAUACAUGACAUCAUCACCAAACCCCUCCUCAUACAUCAUCACCGAAACCCCUCCUCAUACAUCAUCACCGAAACCCCUCCUCAUACAUCAUCACCGAAACCCCUCCUCAUACAUCAUCACCGAAACCCCUCCUCAUACAUCAUCACCGAAACCCCUCCUCAUACAUCAUCACCGAAACCCCUCCUCAUACAUUACAUCAUCACCGAAACCCCUCCUCAUACAUCAUCACCGAAACCCCUCCUCAUACAUCAUCACCGAAACCCCUCCUCAUACAUCAUCACCAAAACCCCUCCUCAUACAUGACAUCAUCACCGAAACCCCUCCUCAUACAUUACAUCAUCACCGAAACCCGUCCUCAUACAUCAUCACCAAAACCCCUCCUCAUACAUCAUCACCGAAACCCCUCCUCAUACAUCAUCACCGAAACCCCUCCUCAUACAUCAUCACCGAAACCCCUCCUCAUACAUCAUCACCGAAACCCCUCCUCAUACAUCAUCACCAAAACCCCUCCUCAUACAUCAUCACCAAAACCCCUCCUCAUACAUCAUCACCGAAACCCCUCCUCAUACAUCAUCACCGAAACCCCUCCUCAUACAUGACAUCAUCACCGAAACCCCUCCUCAUACAUGACAUCAUCACCGAAACCCCUCCUCAUACAUCAUCACCAAAACCCCUCCUCAUACAUCAUCACCGAAACCCCUCCUCAUACAUGACAUCAUCACCAAAACCCCUCCUCAUACAUGACAUCAUCACCAAAACCCCUCCUCAUACAUGACAUCAUCACCAAAACCCCUCCUCAUACAUGACAUCAUCACCAAAACCCCUCCUCAUACAUCAUAUUUUAAACAGCGUUCAGU
ensembl:lncRNA